UAGAGUAAUUGUUCAUCACAUCACAUUGAAAUGAUCCUUGGUUUUGUUUUAAAGAGCAUAGAAGAACAAGAAGUAGAGGAAAAACAGAAGUAGAAAUGGAAUGUGAGACUAUAGUGAAAUUGCAGGUGGAACUUGAUCAGGAAUAUCAAGACAAAUUCAAAAGACUGCCUUUGGAAAUUCUGGAGUUCGUACAGGAAGCCAUGAAAGGGAAAAUCAGUGAAGAUGGAGACCACAGUUCUGCCCCCUCUUCCCUGGCAUCCGACAGUGGAAAAUCCAAUCAUAAACCUCCGCAAAGCGAAGAGGAAUUGGAAGAAGAGAAUCCAGAGAAAGUGUUUGAUACUACUUUUUAACUGCCCCAGAAACAAUAUGGGUGUGCCAGGGCACACCGCUCCCAGCUGCCCGGCUCCGCUCUCCCGGGGGGAGCUGCCACCGCAGCGCUUCGGGAGGCAGGAGGAAUCUGCAUUCGAGUGCACAUUUCCCCAAAGGAACACUUUAUGAAAAGUAUCGUGCAAAGGUCUUCAUUCUCAUUCUUCAUCUGAUUGUUAUUCUGAAGCGUAGUGCAGUUGCAAUGGGAAAAUUAAUAUGUUAACCACCUUCUCCUCUUUAUUUUUCUUUUGGUUUUUUUGGCCCAGUUUACAAUGGGUAAUUUUCUGGCCAUGUUCACUGUUAAGAAUGUUUAAUGAAGACCAAUGUAUUGUACAGAGACAAAUGUGUGCAGAUUUCCUUUUGAAGUGCCAGUGCAAAGUGCUCCAAACUAAUAGAGAUCCCGGAGAAUAUUAUAACAGUACUUAAUCAUAUUUGUUUCCUUCUUUAUAACUGCACCUUGACAGCUGUACCAUCAUUUUACAUUUGCACUGAAACAUUUAAUCCUUUUUAGCUUUGCAAGCACUGGUGGCUUGCUGUCUUGAUAUUGUUGUGUUUAUCACAUGGAGAGACAUGUAUUUGCUGCUGAAAAUCCUUGGAACUGUGGGGAGAAGAGGAAAACGGAGAGAAGAACUCUGCGUGGAGGUUGUCGGUGUCUGUGUACCUCUGUGUUUGUUACACUGUGUGAGUGCAUAUAUGUUUGUAUAUAUAUAUAUAUAUAUAUAGCUAUAUGUGCACACACAUCUGUCUAUAUACACACACACAGCAUGUUUCUAUUUGAAGUUGAUGUGGUCUCCUGGCCAAAUGAGAUGUUUCAGGGAUGCGUGAGUAGAGCGAAUCUUUCUGAAAGCCGACAUCUGGGUUAUACUGCUAUAGAAUAAUCAUUGGAUCAUAGAAUUCUUUUUGUGGUGUUAGUGUUGUAAAUCAAAGUAGUUUUAGAAUAUAAAUUUGAUAUAUAUUUUGCAGACUCAGAAGUAUUGAUUUUAAGUAUCAUAUUUUAAGCUUACUGAAUUUGAUAGGAUUAUGAAAUGUUUAGGACUACAGUAUUUGAAAUCUUAACAGAAUCUUCCAUUAUUUUUAAGACUGAGGUUCAGUUUUACUGAGGUCUGAAAUUUAAAAGCAAAAUAUAAAAAACCUGAUCACUGUUAUUUAAAAAUGUAUAUUAAUCCGUUGAACUGACUUGUUAAAAUAAGAACAAUCAAGGUGAGUGUACUGUGUGAUAAUGCGUGAGAGAAGUAACAGCACAUUCUGAGAAACUUAUACCAGGCAACAGAGAGACAUUGUGAAAGUCAGGAUAUUUGAAAAGGUAAGGAAAUGCUGUUCUCUGGAUUCCCAUACUGACAGGAACAGGAAUUACGAGACGUGUCAGACAGAUUAUUUGUACCCAAGCCAAUGCAGUCCUUCCCCUCGGCCUUAGGGCAAAGGAGAAACCAGCUCAGAAGACACAGAUUUGCCUCAAGACGCUUGAUCCUGCAAACUCAUGUUUUCCUGGGCACCCCUGGGCUCAGGAAUUGUUUGGGGAGGAACGUUCACACUCACGUUUGCAAGAUCGGGGCCUUACUUAGUAUUGAAAAGCAAUCGGAGAAAGCAAUCGAUUACAUGGGGAGGCAUUUUAACACAGUGUAACAGUUAAGUUACCUUACUUCCAAUUCCCUCAGGAUUUUAGUACUUAAACUAACUUAUUUUAUUUAAAUUUAAGCAAUAAAAUACAAAUCGAGCUUAAGUUUUCAGUUAAAUAAUGGUGUAUAUAUAUAUAAGUUCAAAUCUUGGAAAACAAACAGUAUUUUGGUGUUUCUUUUUUAAACUCAAGAGCAGAAAGAAAGAAAAAUUGCACAUUGUUUGGAGAUCGUAUUUUGAAUUAAACUGCUCUGGUUUAUGAUGAUGAAAUCAGUGCACAUGAAAUUCAAAAAUCUGACUUUCAUCUUAAAGCUAGGAAAGGUGAAUCCUCUGUUAACCCUUGUUUUGCACUUUGAAAUCAAUCUUAAUCACUCAUUGAAAACGUAGAGAGUCGAGAUGUAAUGCUGCAUUUUAUAAAGUACAAAUGACAUAUUGCCUAAAUUAUUAAAAGAGUAAACUGAUAGCAGUGUUCACACUAAAACUGAAGGCUAUUGCAUUAUAGAAACAGUUGUACAGAACAGGCUUCGUGGUAAAAUCUUGGCUCCUUUGGAUCCCAGUGCUACGCUCCCGUGGACUUCAGCGGAGCCAGGACCUCACCACAGCCUUCAAAGAAACUCGGGCGAACGCCAGUUAACCUUUUCUUUAUAUUUAAAAAUAAAAUAAAUCUGGAUUGAGUAACCUCUCAGCUGUAGUCAUUUUACAGUACGUUUGUAUUUGACCAUUUCCUGUACUCACAUUUUUUAUAUCUGUACAGUGCCACUUUCUGCAGGUGUAGGGUAGUGUGUAAUCCUGUACAUCUUGCAUUGUUCAAACUAUUUCAGUGAAACAGAUAUCAUUUAAUAUUGAUAUUACUUGAACUAGAGUAAGAUAAUGAAAAAAAAAAAGGGUCUUUAUGAUGUGCAAGUCUUGUGCCUUUUAUGUAUUUGCCUUGUUCCGUGUUGAAUGUGUGGAAAUGCUGUAUUGUGGACUUUUCUGCUGUAUAGAAUAGAGCUGUCUAUAUUAAACUAGGUCGUGCACUUCAGAUAUCUUUACACUACUGAAAAUAGCUUGGUUUUGGCAGUAUAAACAGAAUUUUAAAAAUUCUUAUGAAGGCCAGACAUUUUAGAUUUAACAUGUUCAUAAUUAUGUUAAUUAAUGCUCAUGUAUUAGCUAAACAUUCACUGAAAGAUAACUAAAGGGACAUCAUUGCUUGCCUUUCUUUGAAAUCAGUGUUGCUCUUGUACAUUGUAUUAAUAGUGUCUGUGAUUGAUUAGUCCUUGAUAAUUUGCUUUCAAACUAGGAUGAAAUAUUCCAGUUAACAUGUACAUAUUUUUUCGGUUCCUCGAUCUAUGAUUGUUUCGGAGGCAUAAUUCACAUUUUUGUAAAAAUUCUAUGCAAUUUUGUGGCAUGAUGUUUCUUCCACUUGUAAUUUUAUGUGCUUACAUUACAGAUCCAAAGGACAAAUAAAAAUUUCUUAACACAA